UGGGGGAUAUUGCGCAAUGGGGGAAACCCUGACGCAGCAACGCCGCGUGAAGGAAGAAGGUCUUCGGAUUGUAAACUUUUGUCUUUAGGGAAGAAUAAUGACGGUACCUAAGGAGGAAGCCACGGCUAACUACGUGCCAGCAGCCGCGGUAAUACGUAGGUGGCAAGCGUUGUCCGGAUUUACUGGGUGUAAAGGGUGCGUAGGCGGGACUACAAGUCAGGUGUGAAAAUUAUGGGCUUAACUCAUAACCUGCACUUGAAACUGUAGUUCUUGAGUGAUGGAGAGGUAAGUGGAAUUCCCAGUGUAGCGGUGAAAUGCGUAGAUAUUGGGAGGAACACCAGUGGCGAAGGCGACUUACUGGACAUUAACUGACGCUGAGGCACGAAAGCAUGGGGAGCAAACA
rnacentral:rRNA from 1 species